rnacentral:rRNA from 1 species
CAAUCUAUACUGUGAAACUGCGAAUGGCUCAUUAAAUCAGUUAUCGUUUAUUUGAUAGUACCUUACUACUUGGAUAACCGUGGUAAUUCUAGAGCUAAUACAUGCUAAAAACCUCGACUUCGGAAGGGGUGUAUUUAUUAGAUAAAAAACCAAUGCCCUUCGGGGCUCCUUGGUGAUUCAUAAUAACUUAACGAAUCGCAUGGCCUUGUGCCGGCGAUGGUUCAUUCAAAUUUCUGCCCUAUCAACUUUCGAUGGUAGGAUAGUGGCCUACCAUGGUAUCAACGGGUAACGGGGAAUUAGGGUUCUAUUCCGGAGAGGGAGCCUGAGAAACGGCUACCACAUCCAAGGAAGGCAGCAGGCGCGCAAAUUACCCAAUCCCAAUACGGGGAGGUAGUGACAAUAAAUACUGAUACAGGGCUCUUUUGGGUCUUGUAAUUGGAAUGAGUACAAUUUAAAUCCCUUAACGAGGAACAAUUGGAGGGCAAGUCUGGUGCCAGCAGCCGCGGUAAUUCCAGCUCCAAUAGCGUAUAUUAAAGUUGUUGCAGUUAAAAAGCUCGUAGUUGAACCUUGGGCUCGGCUAGCCGGUCCGCCUCACCGCGUGCACUGGUCCGGCCGGGCCUUUCCUUCUGGGGAUCCGCAUGCCCUUCACUGGGUGUGCCGGGGAACCAGGACUUUUACUUUGAAAAAAUUAGAGUGUUCAAAGCAGGCAUUUGCUCGAAUACAUUAGCAUGGAAUAAUAGAAUAGGACGUGCGGUUCUAUUUUGUUGGUUUCUAGGACCGCCG